GGGCGCGUAGUUCAGUUGGCUAGAACGCGCGGAUCACACCCGCGAGGUCACAGGUUCGAGUCCUGUCGCGCCCACCA
rnacentral:tRNA from 1 species